GGGGACGUGGUGGAAUUGGUAGACACAACGGUCUUUAAAACCGGGGCCCUCAGAAGCGUACGGGUUCGAGUCCCGUCGUCCCUACCG
rnacentral:tRNA from 1 species